UACGUAGGAUGCAAGCGUUGUCCGGAUUUACUGGGUGUAAAGGGUGCGCAGGCGGGACGGUAAGUCAGAGGUGAAAGGCUGGAGCUUAACUCCAGAACUGCCUUUGAUACUGCUGUUCUUGAGUAUGGAAGAGGCAGAUGGAAUAUGUGGUGUAGCAGUGAAAUGCGUAGAUAUCACAUAGAACACCAGUGGCGAAGGCGGUCUGCUGGUCCAUUACUGACGCUCAGGCACGAAAGUGUGGGGAGCAAACAGG
rnacentral:rRNA from 1 species